GGGGAAUAUUGCACAAUGGGCGCAAGCCUGAUGCAGCAACGCCGCGUGAGGGACGACGGCCUUCGGGUUGUAAACCUCUUUUAGUAGGGAAGAAGCGAAAGUGACGGUACCUGCAGAAAAAGCACCGGCUAACUACGUGCCAGCAGCCGCGGUAAUACGUAGGGUGCAAGCGUUGUCCGGAAUUAUUGGGCGUAAAGAGCUCGUAGGCGGUUUGUCGCGUCUGCUGUGAAACCCCGAGGCUCAACCUCGGGCCUGCAGUGGGUACGGGCAGACUAGAGUGCGGUAGGGGAGAUUGGAAUUCCUGGUGUAGCGGUGGAAUGCGCAGAUAUCAGGAGGAACACCAAUGGCGAAGGCAGAUCUCUGGGCCGUAACUGACGCUGAGGAGCGAAAGCAUGGGUAGCGAAC
rnacentral:rRNA from 1 species